rnacentral:rRNA from 1 species
CAGUCGCCGCGGUAAUACGUAGGGUGCAAGCGUUAAUCGGAAUUACUGGGCGUAAAGCGUGCGCAGGCGGUUCGCUAAGACAGAUGUGAAAUCCCCGGGCUUAACCUGGGAACUGCAUUUGUGACUGGCGGGCUAGAGUAUGGCAGAGGGGGGUAGAAUUCCACGUGUAGCAGUGAAAUGCGUAGAGACGUGGAGGAAUACCGAUGGCGAAGGCAGCCCCCUGGGCCAAUACUGACGCUCAUGCACGAAAGCGUGGGGAGCAAACAGGAUUAGAUACCCGCGUAGUCCCUGUCUCUUAUAC